UAGAAUCUAUCCAUCUCGCUCAGGGCGCGCGGCGGGUGCCGGCCGUAAAACGUGCCUGGGGCGGUUUCCGACCGCCGCAGCACACACACCAAGGUUGACCUCGGAUCAGGUAGGAAUACCCGCUGAACUUAAGCAUAUCAAUAAGCGGAGGAAAAGAAACCAACAGGGAUUGCCCCAGUAACGGCGAGUGAAGCGGCAACAGCUCAAAUUUGAAAUCUGGCCUCGCGCCCGAGUUGUAAUUUGUAGAGGAAGCUUUUGGUGCGGUACCUGCUGAGUCCCCUGGAACGGGGCGCCAUAGAGGGUGAGAGCCCCGUAUAGCAGGCUGCCUAUCCUGUGUAAAGCUCCUUCGACGAGUCGAGUAGUUUGGGAAUGCUGCUCUAAAUGGGAGGUAAAUUCCUUCUAAAGCUAAAUACCGGCCAGAGACCGAUAGCGCACAAGUAGAGUGAUCGAAAGAUGAAAAGCACUUUGAAAAGAGGGUUAAAUAGCACGUGAAAUUGUUGAAAGGGAAGCGCUUGUGACCAGACUUGCGCCGGGCGGAUCAUCCGGUGUUCUCACCGGUGCACUCCGCCCGGCUCAGGCCAGCAUCGGUUCUCGCGGGGGGAUAAAGGCCCAGGGAACGUGGCUCCUCUGGGAGUGUUAUAGCCCUGGGCGCAAUGCCCUCGCGGGGACCGAGGUUCGCGCAUCUGCAAGGAUGCUGGCGUAAUGGUCAUCAGCGACCCGUCUUGAAACACGGACCAAGGAGUCAAGGUUUUGCGCGAGUGUUUGGGUGUAAAACCCGCACGCGUAAUGAAAGUGAACGUAGGUGAGAGCUUCGGCGCAUCAUCGACCGAUCCUGAUGUACUCGGAUGGAUUUGAGUAAGAGCGUUAAGCCUUGGACCCGAAAGAUGGUGAACUAUGCUUGGAUAGGGUGAAGCCAGAGGAAACUCUGGUGGAGGCUCGCAGCGGUUCCUGACGUGCAAAUCGAUCGUCAAAUCUGAGCAUGGGGGCGAAAGACUAAUCGAACCAUCUAGUAGCUGGUUACCGCCGA
rnacentral:rRNA from 1 species